rnacentral:rRNA from 1 species
UUGAAAUUUAAAAAAUUUGGCGGUAUUUUAGUCUUUUCAGAGGAACCUGCCCUAUAAUUGAUAAUCCACAAUUAAUUAGACUUGUUUUUUUAGUUUGUAUAUCGCCGUUAUUUGAAUAUUUUAUUAGAAUUUUAAUAUUCAAUAUUUAUUUUUUAUUUUAAAUCAGGUCAAGGUGCAGCUUAUAGAUAAGGAGAGGUGGGUUACAAUAAGUUUACUUAUACGGUUUAUUAAAUGAGAUUUUAAUAUUAAGGUGGAUUUGACAGUAAUUAGAAUUAUUUAAUUUUUUUGAUUUUGGCUCUAAAAUAUGCACAUAUCGCCCGUCGCUCCCAUUAUAAGGUGGGAUAAGUCGUAACAUAGUAGGCGUACCGGAAGGUGUGCCUUGAAAGGCAAAUUAGAGCUUGAAAUAAAGCAUUUUAUUUACAUUAAAAAGUUUAUCGUGAGAUUCGGUUUAAUUUGAACUGGUUUAAUUAUUUUUGUUUUUUUUAUUAAAAGUAGUUUUAUGUUUAAGUAUUUUAGAAGAAAAAGUUUAUUUUAUAAUAGAUUAUUAGUACAGUAAUGGGAUUACUUAUAAAAGUUUUUAAAAGAAGAUUUGAUUGAUUGUACCUUGUGUAUCAGGGUUUAUUAAAGUAAAUUUUGUUAUUAAAAUUUCUCGAAUUUUAGGGAGCUAAAAAUUUAUAUAUUUUAAUGUAAAAUAAUUAUUUAUAAUAUUUUUUUUGUAAUUAUAUGUUAGUCGUUCUAAAUUAUAUCUAGUUUUUCCAGAAAUGAAUUUAAUUCAGUCAGUAUAAGGGUAUUUUUUUUGUGAAACUUUUCUUUUUUAUUGAGUAAUAGUCAAGGGGAUAAGCUUUUGAUUAUAGUUUUAUAAUAGAUGAUUUAUGUUAAUUUGUAGGAUUAGAAGUGUUCAUUAAUUAAAGUGUGUUAUAACAAUUUAAUUUGUAUUUUAAUUUUCUUUGGUUUAAGUUUUUUAUGGAGAUAAGAAGUGUAAUUUUUUUACUUCUGAAUUUAUGAUGAAAUUAGUAUAGUUUUAUGUCUAAGUAUUUUUUUAGACAAAGGUUAAAUAAAGGAACUCGGCAAAUUACUCCUUGCCUGUUUAAUAAAAACAUGUCUUUUUGAGAUAAUAUAAAGUCUGGCCUGCCCAAUGAAUAUUUAAAUGGCCGCGGUAUUUUGACCGUGCAAAGGUAGCAUAAUCAUUAGUUUUUUAAUUGAAAGCUGGAAUGAAUGGUCGGACAAGGGAGUUACUGUCUCUAUUUAAUUUUAUUAGAAUUUUAUGUUUAAGUUAAAAAGCUUAAAUUAGUUUAAGGGACGAGAAGACCCUAUAGAAUUUAAUAGUUGAUGUAAAUAUAGGUUUAUGGAUUUAUAUACUUAUGUUUUAGGAAAUUAUUUUGUUGGGGUGACAGGAAAAUUUAUUAAACUUUUCUUUU